GUCUUCCCCUCCUGCAGGAAAGGGAUAUGCCCCUUGAUUUCCUCCAGGUUUUUUGUUUUCAAAAGCAGUUUUAUUUGUAGCGUCUUCGUGGCCCCUACCUUCCAGACACCUUGUUGUCUAGCCCUUACCCUGUCUCUUUGUAACUCCCCUCCCAGCCAGGUCUAUCCUGUUCCCCACUUCUCCUGUUCGGGCUAUAACAAAGAAAGCGGUACAGCUGCUGCUCUUUCUUCUCAACAGGCAGGAAGGAUGACAAUCAAGGAUGGCUCCAGAAAUGACUACCAUGUUAUGUCUUCAACACCUUUGCUUCUCUACCUCCAGCAGCAGCAAAAAGAAAUAAAAGUUCUUCAACUCCAUUUCCAGCAGAGGAUAAUUCAGUUCCUGAAACCCUUUUAGAUGCUUUGAAGGUUGCUGGGCAACGCUGCUGCUCAAGAGGCGGUGAGUCCAUUGCCAUGGCACCAGAAAACGCUCGCUCUCCCCAGGCUGGCAGGCACCCGGCGCCUCCGCUAGGCCACCGCCGCGCCCGCGGCUCAGCCCGCGGGGAUUAAGCGCUGGUUAAAAAGGUAAGGCCGAAAAAAGCUCUGCCUACAGGACGGGGGUGGAAAUCUGUUCCAUGUGUAUUCGCCUGACUUUACUCUUUGCCUUUUCCUAUAAAGGGCAAACCAGCUCAAAGCGCAACAUCAGAAAAGCCAGGACCACGAGGAAAGUAAGGGGUUUCAUCCAUUCUUUGAAGCAAAGGUAAUACUUAGGAAAAUGUUAAUAAUAGGCUUACCCUUUCUCUGUUUCUAAGCAUUGAAUCUUAGUUAUCCUAUGACCAUCUUUCGGGUCAAAAUAAAGGAAAAUCAUUGGGUUAAAGAGGCA
rnacentral:lncRNA from 1 species